rnacentral:rRNA from 1 species
UACGUAGGGGGCAAGCGUUGUUCGGAAUUACUGGGCGUAAAGGGCUCGUAGGCGGCCAACUAAGUCAUACGUGAAAUCCCUCGGCUCAACCGGGGAACUGCGUCUGAUACUGGAUGGCUUGAGAUUGGGAGAGGGAUGCGGAAUUCCAGGUGUAGCGGUGAAAUGCGUAGAUAUCUGGAGGAACACCGGUGGCGAAGGCGGCAUCCUGGACCAACACUGACGCUGAGGAGCGAAAGCCAGGGGAGCAAACGGG